rnacentral:rRNA from 1 species
UGGGGAAUAUUGGACAAUGGGCGCAAGCCUGAUCCAGCCAUGCCGCGUGAGUGAUGAAGGCCCUAGGGUUGUAAAGCUCUUUCACCGGUGAAGAUAAUGACGGUAACCGGAGAAGAAGCCCCGGCUAACUUCGUGCCAGCAGCCGCGGUAAUACGAAGGGGGCUAGCGUUGUUCGGAUUUACUGGGCGUAAAGCGCACGUAGGCGGACUUUUAAGUCAGGGGUGAAAUCCCGGGGCUCAACCCCGGAACUGCCUUUGAUACUGGAAGUCUUGAGUAUGGUAGAGGUGAGUGGAAUUCCGAGUGUAGAGGUGAAAUUCGUAGAUAUUCGGAGGAACACCAGUGGAGAAGGCGGCUCACUGGACCAUUACUGACGCUGAGGUGCGAAAGCGUGGGGAGCAAACAGG